rnacentral:rRNA from 1 species
UACAGAGGUCUCAAGCGUCGUUCGGAUUCAUUGGGCGUAAAGGGUGUGUAGGUGGCGCGCUAAGUCGGGUGUGAAAUUUCGGAGCUUAACUCCGAAACUGCAUUCGAUACUGGCGUGCUUGAGGACUGGAGAGGAGACUGGAAUUCAUGGUGUAGCAGUGAAAUGCGUAGAGAUCAUGAGGAAGACCAGUGGCGAAGGCGGGUCUCUGGACAGUUCCUGACACUGAGACACGAAGGCCAGGGGAGCAAACGGG